AACCUGGGGUCAGCAGUCCAGCAAUCAGAGACUGAGUGGUAACCAACUCAAGACAUCACAAUGGGGUAGCAAGCAGACACUGCCUAGUGGAGCCUGAAGCUUCUGGACACAGCCCCUGGGGCCGCUGGCACUGGGUGGUAAUUAGGGCACAGAGAUCUCAUGGAGCCUCAGGCUGAGCACAGCCAGUAAGCACAGUCCAGUGGGCAGGCUGGACUGGGAGUGGUCACAUUAUAGCCUACUGGAGCUGCCCUCUGGCUAGAGCCAACCUCUGCUGUGCCCAGCAUGGCAUAAGCCACAUCCUCCCUUCCUCCUUCAGCACCCCCAGCCCCUUCUGGCUGGUGAGAAAGGAACCGAUCUUACUGUUUUUCAAGAUUCCAGAGACUGAAGGGCAGAGGAUGCAGAAGUGCAGAAAAAUCCAAGCAGUUCUUGCCUGCACUCUCCCUUGAGCCAAAAAAGCUGAAAGCUCCUCCAAUCCCAGAUCACAAAGUGAGAAGCUGCUCUACUCCCCUGUCAGCAGAGGCUUUUCUGGGCCCCACUGCCUGUGUCCCUUGACAAAGGCCUUUGUCCCUCACCUGUGAACAUCUUUACAAAGUCGGCACUCGACAUGCUCAUAACCACAUCGGCCGUCACAGGAGGCUUUCCGAAGCCAGCACUCCCACCCUUGGUCUUCAGGUCAAUGUACCAAGUCCCUCCACCAUCACCUGGACAGAGAGUGAAGUAAGGUGCGAAGGCAGCAAGGAUGCUGUGCCCUCCCUCUCCAUUGUCCCCACCAGACGGCCGCGUCCGCGUGUGUUAGCAGGUUCCGUGGCAGCCGCACGCUGACGGGCGCUCUGCAAGGAGUCACCUCUUGUCCCCCUGACGCCCCAAGCACCACGGGCUGGGGCCGCGGGCAGGAGAGCCCAGAAGCUGCGCUUUGCUCACAGAGCUGGUGGCAGCCCACGCUCCUGCUGUGGCCCCGAGAACGCCCUGUCCCUCGUGCCACACCAGCCCCGUGAGGACAGAGGGACGGCAGCUCCAGGGGCCUGCUCAAGCGGCCUGCAGCAGGAGCCUCACACAGAACUGAAGAGCAGCUGGUCUGCUUCGGGACAGCUUCCAAAGUGUUUCUGUCUGAAAGCACCCAGUGCCUUUUUCUAGGCAAGGCUGCACAAGCGAUGGGCUUACCAGAUAGCUCAAACUGAAAGAUGCCCUGAGUCCUUCUCAUGUACUCUUCAGUCACUGCCUCUUGAAUAACUCGGAACGUCUCUGCAACAGGCCCCGCUGGCAUGGCUACAGCAGAUUCUGUCUUAACCUUGGCUGCAUCUGCUCCUUCCUGCUGGGAUCUGCUUACUUUCUUCUCCUCUUGGGCAGCACCUAUGAGAAAGAUUACUUUUCUCUUUCAAAUACAAACCACUUUAAAAAUUAAUAUAGAACCAUGAGCAGAGAACUCCAUUUGAAAAGACUUAAACUUCAAAGUAGGGAAAACAAUUAUUUUACCAUUUUAGUAUCAACACUGAUAAAGGAUGCUUUUUCCACCCAGGAAUCUGAAUAGAUGUACAUCGCUAAACGUAAUUCUGCAAUAAAUUUUGAUUCCUGGUAGAUCAAAAGAAAAGAUAAAAUAAAACCACAGCAAAGUUCUCA